GAUCCUGGCUCAGGAUGAACGCUAGCGACAGGCUUAACACAUGCAAGUCGAGGGGCAGCGGGGUGUAGCAAUACACCGCCGGCGACCGGCGCACGGGUGAGUAACGCGUAUGCAACUUGCCUAUCAGAGGGGGAUAACCCGGCGAAAGUCGGACUAAUACCGCAUGAAGCAGGGAUCCCGCAUGGGAAUAUUUGCCAAAGAUUUAUCGCUGAAAGAUGGGCUCGCGGCCGAUUAGGUAG
rnacentral:rRNA from 1 species